rnacentral:rRNA from 1 species
UGGCGAACGGGUGAGUAACACGUGGGUAACCUGCCCAUCAGAAGGGGAUAACACUUGGAAACAGGUGCUAAUACCGUAUAACACUAUUUUCCGCAUGGAAGAAAGUUGAAAGGCGCUUUUGCGUCACUGAUGGAUGGACCCGCGGUGCAUUAGCUAGUUGGUGAGGUAACGGCUCACCAAGGCAACGAUGCAUAGCCGACCUGAGAGGGUGAUCGGCCACACUGGGACUGAGACACGGCCCAGACUCCUACGGGAGGCAGCAGUAGGGAAUCUUCGGCAAUGGACGAAAGUCUGACCGAGCAACGCCGCGUGAGUGAAGAAGGUUUUCGGAUCGUAAAACUCUGUUGUUAGAGAAGAACAAGGAUGAGAGUAAAAUGUCAUCCCCU